rnacentral:rRNA from 1 species
CCUACGGGGGGCAGCAGUGGGGAAUAUUGGACAAUGGGGGCAACCCUGAUCCAGCCAUGCCGCGUGUGUGAAGAAGGCCCUCGGGUUGUAAAGCACUUUCAGUGAGGAAGAACGCCUGGUGGUUAAUACCCAUCAGGAAAGACAUCACUCACAGAAGAAGCACCGGCUAACUCCGUGCCAGCAGCCGCGGUAAUACGGAGGGUGCGAGCGUUAAUCGGAAUUACUGGGCGUAAAGCGCGCGUAGGUGGCUUGAUAAGCCGGUUGUGAAAGCCCCGGGCUCAACCUGGGAACGGCAUCCGGAACUGUCAAGCUAGAGUGCAGGAGAGGAAGGUAGAAUUCCCGGUGUAGCGGUGAAAUGCGUAGAGAUCGGGAGGAAUACCAGUGGCGAAGGCGGCCUUCAGGACUGACACUGACACUGAGGUGCGAAAGCGUGGGUAGCAAACAGGAUUAGAUACCCUUGUAGUC